rnacentral:rRNA from 1 species
CAGCCGCCGCGGGAAUACGAAGGGUGCAAGCGUUAAUCGGAAUUACUGGGCGUAAAGCGUGCGUAGGCGGUUUGUUAAGUCUGUUGUGAAAUCCCCGGGCUCAACCUGGGAAUGGCAAUGGAUACUGGCAAGCUAGAGUGUGUCAGAGGAUGGUGGAAUUCCCGGUGUAGCGGUGAAAUGCGUAGAGAUCGGGAGGAACAUCAGUGGCGAAGGCGGCCAUCUGGGACAACACUGACGCUGGGGCACGAAAGCGUGGGGAGCAAACAGGAUUAGAUACCCGUGUAGUCCCUGUCUCUUAUAC